UUUUCUUCAGCCCACCAUUUUUUUUCUAAAGGGACUCGUAACACCACUACUAACCGUGUAUGAAAUAAGCCGCCUCCUUAUACCUUUAAGGAAUAUAAAGGGACGUUACUCCACUACUUACUGACCCUAACUAACCUAAUUUUUAAUAUACACAGUUUCCACAAGAACGCGUUUAACCAGACCUGUUGGUGACCUGCUGUUGUCUGCUCUAUGGUCGGGUUGUUGUUUCUUUGACACAUUCCCCAUUUCCAUUCUCAAUUUUUUAUUCCUAGAAAUGUAAAGGAGAUAAGAUAAAUAUACAUAUCUUCUUUAGCAUCGAUGUUAAAUACACUUUUGAAGCAAGAAAUUAUUUUUCUUAUAAUUUUUAAAGUAUAAAUAUUAUAGAAAUAAAUAAAUGUGCAUCUGAUUUGUUAUUUGUUUAUGAUGGUGCUUACAAUGUAACUCCAUGUUGGCUUCAUCCUAGUGGCCAGUUUUGAUCAACGAAGAAGUAGAAGUAGUCGAAGAGAACACACCACACCGAAAUUCGGAAGAAAAAUUAACAGUCCUAAAAUCUAUCACCAUAGAUUUGAACAAGUAUCAAAAUGUUGAAAUAUAAAGGAUAAAGAAUGAUUUACGAUUUAAAGUUAUAAAAACAGUAAAACAGUAUUUAAAACCGGCUUUUUGAAAUUGCAUGGCGAAAAAAUGGGAGGCUUGCAAACUUGUCAAAUGUUAAAUUAAGUAAAGGUUUUUUGCAUAAAUAUGGUUUAUUUCUUUCUUUGAUGAUUGAUUGGUGAAAAACAACAUUUUCAACUCUAUGGUGCUAUUUGAUGGCGGUUAGUUGUUGAUGGUGGAUAUAGU
rnacentral:lncRNA from 1 species